AUCGAAGGGCCUGGCCGCUUGUGUCUGGAAUCGGCAGGAGAGAUAAACAUUCGAGGUAUAACUCGAGGUGGUUGGCGGUGGUCGUUGGGGGUGGUUAGGGGUGGUUGCGGGUAAUCGCGGUGAUUCCGGAGGAGAGGGACGAGGAUUUGUGCUCGGUAUAACCUGAGGUGGUUGAAGGUGGUCG